rnacentral:rRNA from 1 species
UACGAAGGGGGCUAGCGUUGCUCGGAAUGACUGGGCGUAAAGGGCGCGUAGGCGGCUUGCACCGUCAGAUGUGAAAUUCCUGGGCUUAACCUGGGGGGCUGCAUUUGAUACGUGUGGGCUUGAGUGCGGAAGAGGGUCGUGGAAUUCCCAGUGUAGAGGUGAAAUUCGUAGAUAUUGGGAAGAACACCGGUGGCGAAGGCGGCGACCUGGUCCGUGACUGACGCUGAGGCGCGAAAAGCGUGGGGG